rnacentral:RNase_MRP_RNA from 2 species
UCCUCGCCCAAAGAAUCGCAGUCGAAGCUAACGCACGGAGACGCCCUCCGCGGUGUUCUCAUCCAACAAAACGCUUUGGGAGAAAGUCCCCGGACAGCCCCGAACAGGGGACUCCGCGUCAACGCGCCGCCAUAGAAGCAGCGUCGUCUCUUCACUGUUCCCGGUCCUCCUGCGCGCCUUCCACCGUUUGCACUUGGCCACUCCCCUCUUUGCUCACUCGGGCCCCAAGCUGCUCACUACGGAUGAAGAUAUGAGUCCGAGCGGUGCAAGGUUCGGGCUGUUGAGAGAAGGGCUCUGUGGUUGGGGAGGUGUCUGGAUACCGCCUGGGACGCCGUGGUCGCUGGCUUGCCAGUAGCAGUGUCGAGGUUACUUCGUCGAGAAGAUAGUUAUGCGAUUGCCUUCGUCCCCUUUACGGGCCGGAGGUAACUCGAUGGGGCUUAUUCUUGGUGCGAGG